rnacentral:rRNA from 1 species
AACGAACGCUGGCGGCGUGCCUAACACAUGCAAGUCGUGCGAGAAAGUUCCUUCGGGAGCGAGUAAAGCGGCGCACGGGUGAGUAACACGUAGGUAACCUGCCCCCCAGUCUGGAACAACUAGAGGAAACUCUAGCUAAUGCCGGAUGAGACCACGAUCCCUUCGGGGGGUUGCGGCCAAAGAUGGCCUCUACUUGUAAGCUAUCGCUGAGGGAUGGGCCUGCGGGCCAUUAGCUUGUUGGUGAGGUAACGGCUCACCAAGGCUGUGAUGGCUAGCUGGUCUGAGAGGAUGACCAGCCACACUGGGACUGAGACACGGCCCAGACUCCUACGGAGGCAGCAGUGGGGAAUUUUGGACAAUGGGGGCAACCCUGAUCCAGCAAUGCCGCGUGAGUGAAGAAGG